UAGAAUAUGGUGUAUAGAGGUAGCACGAAGAAUUUUGAGUUCUUAGGAAUAGGUUCAAGUCCUGUAAUUCUAG
rnacentral:tRNA from 1 species